UUGAAGACACUGAAGAAUGAAGUCCCCUGCUUAUUCACAGAACAACUACAGCUGAGGUAGUGUUAGUAGAAAUUCCUCUACGAUACCCAGCUAAUGCACUUCAGCCAUGACCUAAGGAGACCUCUGUGGCUGAUGAGGUAGUUUAAUUUUCAUGCCAAUUCAAUCUUUGGCCUCU
rnacentral:sRNA from 1 species